rnacentral:rRNA from 1 species
AUUGAACGCUGGCGGCAUGCCUUACACAUGCAAGUCGAACGGCAGCACGGGAGCAAUCCUGGUGGCGAGUGGCGAACGGGUGAGUAAUAUAUCGGAACGUGCCCAGUCGUGGGGAUAACGUAGCGAAAGCUACGCUAAUACCGCAUACGAUCUAUGGAUGAAAGCGGGGGAUCGCAAGACCUCGCGCGAUUGGAGCGGCCGAUAUCAGAUUAGGUAGUUGGUGAGGUAAAGGCUACACCAAGCCGACGAUCUGUAGCUGGUCU